GACGAACGCUGGCGGCGUGCUUAACACAUGCAAGUCGAACGGAAAGGCCCUGCUUUGGUGCGGUGGUCGGGGGACGAACGGGGGAGUAACACGUGGGUAACCUGCCCUUGACUGUGGGGUAACCUCAGGAAGCUUGGGGUAAUAGCGGCAAGGAGCUCCUGCUUCUGGGUGGGGGUGGGAUAGUUUCGGCGGUUGGGGGUGGAAUCGCGGCUUAUCAGCUUGUUGGUGGGGUAGUGGCUUACCAAGGCUUGGAGGGGUUGCCGGCCUGGAAGGGGGACAGGCCACAUUAGGCCGGGGAUGCGGCACAGACUACUCCCGGAGGCAGCAGUGGGGAAUAGAGUACAAUGGGAGGAAGCAUGAUGCAGCAACGCAGCGUGCGGGAUGACGGCCUUCGGGUUGUAUACCGCUUUCGCCUGUGACGAAGCGUGAGUGACGGUAAUGGGUAAAGAAGCACCGGCUAACUACGUG
rnacentral:rRNA from 1 species